AGGUGUCGUUGGCUUCCGUCGCAUUUCUUCUUUUCUUUCUCUCUCUCUCUUUCUCUCCUCUCUGUGGCGAAAGGCGACAUCUCUUGCGAUCGGUGGGUCUUUUCGACGAAACGGCCGCGUCUCUGUGGGUGGCUGGCGUCGACGAUGGCCAACGACGUCCUCUCUAUCUGUUUCUCUUCUCCACCAAGGAAAACGACGACAUCUCUCCCUGUUUCUUUCCUCUCCUCGGCGAAAGGCGAGAUCUCUCUCGAUCGGUGGCUCUGUUCGAUGAUAAGGUCACGUCUCUGUCGGUGGCUGUCGUCGAGGAAGGGAAACGGCGAUCUCUCUCUGUGUUUCUUUCCUCUCCUCGGCGGAAAACGGCUCUCUCUCUCUCUCAGGCAAAUCGAAAGAUGGAAUGAUCAAGAGGCAUGAUCAAGGUUUCUCAGACAAAAGCCAGACGAUUAUUCAUAACAAAAGCCACACGAUCAAGGGCCACAUGAUAAAGGUUGUUUGAUCAAGAUGCUUGAUCCAGGUUCGUGAGACAAAAGGCCUACGAUUGUUGAUGCAGAUACCAGCUGAGGUGAUGGCUGACUUGUACUCUUGUAUUACGGGGAGUGGAGAGGCAGACAAGGCCACAGGAGAGUGGAGAGGCAGACAAGACCACGAGAGAGUAGAGCAUUGUAUUGUCUUGUACUCUUGUAUUUUAUUGUCACGUGAUUAUUUGCCUCUUGUUAUCUUGCAUCACGGACACAAGAUGUCACUUGUAUUAUUUGCCUCUUGUUAUCUUGCAUCACGGACACAAGAUGUCACAAACAUACUUAUAAAUUGUGUUGUCCUAUCUGUCCACACUUGUAGUAUUUUUACUUUCUCAUUCUCUCCAUUCUUGCAAGUUAUCAUCAAAAGACACUCAUCACAAACGUGUAGUUCUCAUCACAGCCACACUUAUAAAAUCCAUUCCCUCCAUUCUCUCAAUUCUCUUUAAGUUCUCAUCACAACCAAACUUAUAACAAUCCAUUCCCUCCAUUCUCUCAAUUCUCAUCACAAGCACACUUAUAAAAAUCUGAAAAAUUUCAUCUCAUUGCAUCUUCUUCUCAUAACAAUUUCGAGGAGUCAAUGGAUGAAACUUUUGAUCAAUAUUUUGAUCAUCAUUUCAAUCAAGCAUUUGAGAAUUUGUGAAAUAAUUUUGGUGAUCAAACAGAAGGAAGGAAGACAAGGAAAAAAUGAGUUUUUAUCGAAAGAAACCGUGAAGAAGGCCAUCUCCGGUUAUGGAAUGAUUAUUUCAGUGACGCUCCAACGUAUCCUGAAAAUCUAUUCCAACGACAAUUUAGAAUGAACAAGUUAUUGUUCAUGCAUAUUGUUGAUCGCCUCUCCAAUGAAGUUCAAUUCUUUCGUCAGAAGAAGGACGGUCUCGGAAGGCUUGGUCUCUCUACACUUCAAAAUUGUAAAACAGCUAUUCGUGUGUUGGCAUAUGGGUAUGCGCUUGAUGCGGUCGACGAAUACCUCAGGCUCGGUGCAACCACAACUCGGUUUUGUGUGAAAAUUUUUGUGGAAGCAAUAAUAGAUUUGUUCGGCGAUCAGUGCCUAAGAAGACCAACACCAGAUGAUCUUCAACGUCUACUUCAUAUUGGAGAGCUUCGUGGAUUUCCCGGGAUGAUAGGAAGCAUCGAUUGUAUGCAUUGGGAGUGGAAGAAUUGUCCCACCGCUUGGAAAUGACAAUAUUCUCGUGGUUCUGGAAAACCCACAAUCGUUUUAGAGGCGGUUGCUUCAUAUGAUCUAUGGAUAUGACAUGCGUUUUUUGGACCUCCAGGUACCUUAAAUGAUAUCAAUGUUCUUGAUUGCUCACCUGUUUUUGUUGACAUAAUAAAUGGUCAAGCUCCGCAAGUGAAUUUCUUGGUCAACGGAAGAGAGUAUCAUUUGGCUUACUAUCUCACGGAUGGUAUUUAUCCGAAAUGGGCAACUUUUAUCCAAUCUAUUCCAAUUCCACAAGGGCUGAAAGCAGUUUUAUUUGCUCAACGAUGUUUCAGAUUUUCAACAAGGCGAAGGAAGCGGAAGUUCACAUGUCGAUCUCACCUAUUCUACAUAUAUCCCUACAAAUAUCGCCAAUCAGAUGGGUGUUCGAACAAGAAUUCGUGAUAGACAAGCGCAUCAACAACUGAAAGGUAAUUUGGUUGAACAUAUAUGGCGUAAAUUUGGACGUGAUUAAGACAACAACUGAGCUUGUAAUAAAUAAAUUUUAUCUUUUUAAAAAAUUUUAUGUUUAAAAAUAAAUUUAAUAUUUUUUUAUUGUUAAGAACCUUAAUUAAGCAACUCCCAAUAAACCACUAUAAUUAAGUGUUUCUUAACAAAGUUUAUUAACUUAAUUUUAAUAGUUAAAAAAAUCACUAAGCACCACUUAAGGGUGCUAGCAAUAAACAUGCUCUAACGAGUAUAUAAGUACACUUUCUUUCCAGCUGGGGUUUUAAUUUUAUAAGAAUUUAUAGUUGACAUAUCUGAAAUGGACUUUUCAAGGGUCCUAAUUCAAAUCAUGUAGAAUUUAAGAAGUCAAUCCAUUUCUAAGUAUUUUGAUGCAAAGAGAAUGCAUGUUCAAACUUAAUCUAAGUGCAUUCAGUUCAAUGAAGUGGUUUGAUUAAACUAACAAGAUUCUAACACAACUAACUAGCAACUUUCAAUCAAAUGGAUAAAUGAGGAAUCAUGGGCAUAGGAUUUUGAUUUCAGAUGACUAAGAUUUAAUCUAAAAUGACAAGGUUUCAAUCAACACAUUCCCCUAAGUCUAGAUAACAAUUCUACGCAAGUUCUUUUUCAAGACAAAAGCUCAUUUACUCUCAUUGAUCAAACAUCAAAUUCCUUUGGUUUGUGUCAAUCAAACAAUCAUUAAGAACAUAUCAUUCAACUUUCUAAACUCCCCUAACAUCAAAUCUCUUUGGUAGGGUAAGUUAAGAGCAUGUUGAGUUGGCUCAGACAUUUCAUCGAACACCUUUCGGGCAAUGAAAUGUCUAGAGUUCUAAUCUAAAAUGGCCAACUCUAGAUUAGCGUUAAGAUCACUCAAUCAAGCAAGGAAACAUAUUAAUCUAUCUAAAACAUUCUAGAUCAUCACUUAAUCAUCUUAAUCAUCCUGGCCCAUGAAUCCAAAGAUGACUACUCACUCAUUAUCAUGGUAGACAUGAAAUCAUUAGUUGAUCUAAGUCUAAACAUGAUUAAUGAUCAAAGCAAUCAAGUAAACACAAGAGAAAUUGAUCAAGAUUAGAUCUUUCACCUAAAGGUCGAUUUUUGAUUAGAUAGAAAACAAGAUAAGUCCCAACGGUAUUUAUACAAUCCCUAGAAAACCUAAUGGUUUCCUUAAAAAUUCUAAAAAGCCCUUAAAAACGCCUAAAAUCGACUAAGGAAAAGUCUCGACUCGGGUAGAAGUCAUCAGCCACAACCCGUGCGACCCUAACUCGCGUUGGAACGUCGAGCGGCUCCACUUCAUGCGCGCGGGUAGAUCACCCCGAGUCCUUCUUCCCGUGUCGGAGUGUCGAGCAGCUUCAUUAUGGGCGCGGGAACGACUCCCCGCGUGAGCCCAACCCGGGUGAGUCGUCGCGCUGAGCUCUAUCUUCAUGCGCGCGGGUACGGCUUCCCGCGUCGGUCAUCCCGCGUGACCCCGUCGACGAAGCUCCAUCUUCAUGCGCGCGGUGAGCCCAACCCGCGUGAUCCAAGCCGUGUUGGAGGCCUUCGUUACCUCUUCUCGAUGAGUCGACGCGGGUAAGUGAACCCACGUGGUUUAACCCGCGUUGCAUUCGCCAAAACCCGACCAAUCUUCAUUUUCCAUCUCUUGUUGAACCACAAUGCUUCUAAACACCUCCAAUCACUCCAUAGGACACUCCAAUACCUGAUAAAGACAUAUGAAUGCAAUAUGGAUCCUAAAGAUGCUUAAUUCCUAAUCUAUAUGAUCAAUAU